rnacentral:rRNA from 1 species
UACAGAGGGUGCAAGCGUUGCUCGGAUUUACUGGGCGUAAAGCGUACGCAGACGGUUUGGAAGGUCGGACGUGAAAGCCCCAGGCUCAACCUGGGAAAUGCGUCCGAAACCACCUUACUUGAGUAUGAGAGAGGAAAGCGGGAUUCCUGGUGUAGAGGUGAAAUUCGUAGAUAUCAGGAGGAACAUCGGCGGCGAAGGCGGCUUUCUGGCUCAUUACUGACGUUCAGGUACGAAAGCGUGGGUAGCAAACAGG